GGUCCGGGCGUUAUCCGGAUUUAUUGGGUUUAAAGGGAGCGCAGGCGGAAGAUUAAGUCAGCUGUGAAAUGUAGAUGCUCAACGUCUGCACUGCAGCGCGAACUGGUUUCCUUGAGUACGCACAAAGUGGGCGGAAUUCGUGGUGUAGCGGUGAAAUGCUUAGAUAUCACGAAGAACUCCGAUUGCGAAGGCAGCUCACUGGAGCGCAACUGACGCUGAAGCUCGAAAGUGCGGGUAUC
rnacentral:rRNA from 1 species